rnacentral:rRNA from 1 species
CGUCCAGACUCCUACGGGAGGCAGCAGUGGGGAAUAUUGCACAAUGGGGGAAACCCUGAUGCAGCGACGCCGCGUGAGUGAAGAAGUAUUUCGGUAUGUAAAGCUCUAUCAGCAGGGAAGAAAAUGACGGUACCUGACUAAGAGGCCCCGGCUAACUACGUGCCAGCAGCCGCGGUAAUACGUAGGGGGCAAGCGUUAUCCGGAUUUACUGGGUGUAAAGGGAGCGUAGACGGCAUGGCAAGUCAGAUGUGAAAGCCCGGGGCUCAACCCCGGGACUGCAUUUGAAACUGUCAGGCUGGAGUGCAGGAGAGGUAAGUGGAAUUCCUAGUGUAGCGGUGAAAUGCGUAGAUAUUAGGAGGAACACCAGUGGCGAAGGCGGCCUGCUGGGCUUUUACUGACGCUGAGGCUCGAAAGUGUGGGGAGCAAACAGGAUUAGAUACCCGGGUA